rnacentral:rRNA from 1 species
UACGUAGGGUGCGAGCGUUGUCCGGAUUUAUUGGGCGUAAAGGGCUCGUAGGUGGUUGAUCGCGUCGGAAGUGWAAUCUUGGGGCUUAACCCUGRGCGUGCUUUCGAUACGGGUUGACUUGAGGAAGGUAGGGGAGAAUGGAAUUCCUGGUGGAGCGGUGGAAUGCGCAGAUAUCAGGAGGAACACCAGUGGCGAAGGCGGUUCUCUGGRCCUUUCCUGACGCUGAGGAGCGAAAGCGUGGGGAGCGAACAGGCUUAGAUACCCUGGUAGUCCACGCUGUAAACGGUGGGUACUAGGUGUGGGGUCCAUUCCACGGRUUCCGUGCCGUAGCUAACGCUUUAAGUACCCCGCCUGGGGAGUACGGCCGCAAGGCUAAAACUCAAAG